AGUGAACGCUGGCGGUAGGCCUAACACAUGCAAGUCGAACGGCAGCACAGUAAGAGCUUGCUCUUACGGGUGGCGAGUGGCGGACGGGUGAGGAAUACAUCGGAAUCUACUUUUUCGUGGGGGAUAACGUAGGGAAACUUACGCUAAUACCGCAUACGACCUACGGGUGAAAGCAGGGGAUCUUCGGACCUUGCGCGAUUGAAUGAGCCGAUGUCGGAUUAGCUAGUUGGCGGGGUAAAGGCCCACCAAGGCGACGAUGCGUAGCUGGUCUGAGAGGAUGAUCAGCCACACUGGAACUGAGACACGGUCCAGACUCCUACGGGAGGCAGCAGUGGGGAAUAUUGGACAAUGGGCGAAAGCCUGAUCCAGCAAUACCGCGUGAGUGAAGAAGGCCUUCGGGUUGUAAAGCCCUUUUGUUGGGAAAGAAAAGCAGCAGGUUAAUACCCCGCUGUUCUGACGGUACCCAAAGAAUAAGCACCGGCUAACUUCGUG
rnacentral:rRNA from 1 species